GACGAACGCUGGCGGCGCGCCUAACACAUGCAAGUCGAACGGAGCUGAGAGAAGCUUGCUUUUCUUAGCUUAGUGGCGAACGGGUGAGUAACGCGUGAGUAACCUGCCCUGGAGUGGGGGACAACAGUUGGAAACGACUGCUAAUACCGCAUAAGCCCACGAUCCGGCAUCGGAUUGAGGGAAAAGGAUUUAUUCGCUUCAGGAUGGACUCGCGUCCAAUUAGCUAGUUGGUGAGGUAACGGCCCACCAAGGCGACGAUUGGUAGCCGGACUGAGAGGUUGAACGGCCACAUUGGGACUGAGACACGGCCCAGACUCCGACGGGAGGCAGCAGUGGGGGAUAUUGCACAAUGGGGGAAACCCUGAUGCAGCGACGCCGCGUGGAGGAAGAAGGUUUUCGGAUUGUAAACUCCUGUCGUUAGGGACGAUAAUGACGGUACCUAACAAGAAAGCACCGGCUAACUACGUG
rnacentral:rRNA from 1 species